UGACGCAGCUGUUACCACUAACUGGAAAUUAUCUUAGAUUGAGCCCUAUAUGAAAACACCUCUAGAUGAGAAGACACAUUUAAAAUUUUGUAUGAUACUUGUUUCUAGGGGACAGAUUUGUUGUUGUUGCUAAUUAAUACUAACUUCUUGUCAUAUUUGAGAAAUAUAUGGGAAGGUGUGAGAUUCUCUACUGGUAAAUAGUCAGGCUCUCAUCCUAUUAGGAAAAUAAUUUCAUUUCUUAUUUUGGGUUGUUCCAGGAUGAAGAGGCUAUAAAGUGAACAAGUAGGUCAGUGCUUGCUGCGCUUGGUGGAAAUCUUGCCUUGCCUCUCUGUGAGGUGUCACUGUGGAGUUUAUCUCUGAAGGGGAAUACAAAUAGUACUGAAAAGGAAGACUGAGUGAAGAAGUUCUUUGCUGCAAAGCAGCUUUGGCCUGGCAGCCUCAGAAGGACCUUGGGGCCCAGAGCUCUGCUUGAAGAAGUCAGCUGGAGCACGCAGCAGUGAUAUGGUGGCUGGUUUCCUCACCUGCUUUGAGCCCAGAAACAGCAUCAGGAUCAGAGCUGAAGUGAUGGCAAGCUGGAAACAGGCUGUAAUGAGCUGAAAAGAAGGAGCAUGAAGUGAAGUACACCUGUGGGCUCCAUGCUUGCAGCUGCCUGAGAUAGUCAUCCAAAUAUGCCACCCUGCCUCUACCAGCCUGCCAACAGAAGCAGUGUGUUCAUGCUGGGCUUUUCAGCUGUGUGGCAGUGCCACAUAGACCUUCUGUGACUCAGCCAAAGACGAAGUUCAUGUACAAGAAGUACAUCUCAGGUCUGGGUUUUCUUGUUUGGCUUUUUAUUCAUAGGUACAUAGCACCAAAAUGUUUCUUCUAAGUGUUCUUGCUGAAAGCUGUUCAAACGUGUAUUGUCUGGAAGAAGACUGACAAAAUUAUAACUUAGAGCUGUCAAGCUUUACCACCAUUACACCUCCACUCAGUUUUUGUUAAUUCUGCUACAUUGGCUGUUAGACUUAAACCAUGUAUUAUACAGACAGCACUGAGACCAGUGAGACAGGAUGGGAAUAAGGAUUACAGGGACUGAAGACUUGGAACAACUUUUUUCUGCUUUUAAGAGGUUCUAGACAUGAAAACUGUUUUUCAUAUGUGAAUGACUGAAGUAUAUAACCUCAAAAUAAUUGACAUGAAAAAAAAAAGGAAGCAUUUUCAUAACAAGUACAUCAGUUUGUACCUAAACAGGAAAGUCUGCAGCAGAAUUAAGCACUGAAUUAUCUUGCUGAAAUUAAAACCACAAAAUCUCUUUGUUUAGUCUGUCUUAGUGAAACUAAUAUCAAGCUUUGCUUUGAGCAAUGGCAUAAUAACAAAUUCCCUAUUCUAUGAGGAUAGCAGCAAAUCAAACUGGUGUAUCUACACUUGCAUCUGAAAAUUGUGUAUAUCUUGGUAGAUAGUCAUGCCUGAGGCUAGGUUAGCUCAUUCAUGGAGAAAGAACUUGGUUGUUGCUGCCUUGUGUGUGAAGAAGUCUCUGCAUUUAUUCUGUUUGUCCUUUACUGGGUAAUAUCCCUUGCCAUGACAGCCAUCCAUCUAUGCUGUUCACCUGUUGUUUCAUUCCUGUGUAUGCAGAUAUGCAGAAACACAGAAUUCAGAAUUGCACUCCACCUCAUCCCUGUUAAAGUUCCUUGCAAACAGAGAAUUUUUGUUGACACUUUAGGAUCUUUCUGUGAAAUUAUUUUUCUAUAGCUUGAGAUACGGCAAAAAAUUAGUCUUUCUCCAAAUACAGAAUAAAUCGGUACAUAGCUAUUAUAAUGUUUUUCACAUUAUCUUAUGGUUAGCUUGAAAAACAUGCAAGAUCAUCAGUGGUGUCUAGAUUUUUCUGUAUAGUAAUAAAGGAUCAUGUUUUCCACUGAAGAUGUGGUUUCAGUAUGAGAGGUUGCUAUUUUUUUCUUUUUUUUUUUUUUCAUUUGGAAUGAGCAAGAGUAGUAAGAGUAAAAAUUGAUGGCUUUAUUUUGACUUAAUUUUUAUCUACUACUGAGUCAAAACAUAGAGACUUCUUAUGGAAGCCCAUUUAUCUACUCAAAUCAAGAGGACUUCUGUUUUCAUAACAAACAAACAAACAAUUCAUUCUUUAUUCCAUUAUUUGAAUAAUAAAAGAGUGCUAAAAGAAAUUUUUUUAGAGUAGUAUAGCUGGCUUUGUCUUGCUGGCAUUAUGUUACAAUGCCCUCUGUGCUGUACUUUAGAUGCCUAACAACCUUUUUCUCCUAUAUCCAAAAAUACCCAGCAGGACCGUUCCAUUAAAAAUAGAGGGUUUAUUUAUUUAUUUUUUCUCUUUCAUUCAAAACUAGCUUCAUUUUACAGAUAAGGAAACAGAGGAAGUAAGAUCUGUGAGGAUUGGUAAAUGAAUCCAGGUUUAAUCUAUAAUCCUUUUAGUUGAUCCUCUGAGUGAGACUGACUUAAUUUAUAAGGCAUGUGAAUAAUUAGUAAGGUAUCUGUUUGCUUCUGAUACAUUAAAAUAUCUUCUCAUAGUGAGUAAUCCAGGUGAAAAGUAAUAUUCAGAGGGGACCAAAAGACAUUAAUUUUAGGGAUUUGGAUAUUACUGUUCCAGAGAUGUAAUUUCCUAAUGCAUUUAGACCUGAAAAUUACUUGUCAUUCCAAUACCUAUUACUGGUUCAUCUGACAUAAAUGGAGAUUUUACUGCAUCCUCCGUUAUGUUUUGCUGUAUAUGUAACUCUGUAGAUUGUUAAAUUUUUACACUUAUUUCAGAAUUCUAUUUCUUCAAAAAUACAUGAUAGCGCACAAUUGUAACGAUGUUCUCACUUUGAAUCAGCAUGUUGCAGGCAGAUAUGGAAACAAGUUGUCUGGCAAUGUGUUGUCUGUCACUGAAGUUGAGCUAUGAUUAAUAUCUAUGCUUCUUUUUCUUCUUGCUAUCUGGAAUAGCUCAAAAAGCUUUUGAGCCCAGAAAUCAAAGUGUGGUUUUUGGUCCAGACAGUUCAUUGCGAGUUAAAACUAAAGCCCUGCAUGUCUAUCUUAAAAACAAAACAACAAACCCAAAACAGAUUUAGUUAGUCUCGGUGCCUGUAUGAUUAGUAAUUAUGAAAAAACUCUUUCACUGAAUAUCUUUCAUCCUACAAAUGCUAAACACUACAAUACAUGCCUGUAUUUUCAUUAGCUGUAUAAACUGUUAGUGAAUUUAUUCCCAUAGUAAGAAGUAGUUACGAAGGAAAUUCUUUCUUUCAAUGUUAAGUUUACAGAUACUUUUUUUUUUUUUAACUCACAGAAAGUAGAUUUUUUCUUGCUGGAUAGUGAUACAGCUUAUGCUGUAUGUUUCUAAGACACAUAGGCAUGCUUACGGAAACAAAAGCUGAAUCUCCUUUUAGGAUCAAAUAAGUUUUCAAAUAAUUCAUACUGCCUACUCUGAAAUGACUAGGGAUUGCCAUGUAGUCCCCGAGGUCAGUAAUUGAUGGACACAAUUAGGUCUUCCUUCAGGAGGCUACAUCAGUACUUAACCCUUAAGCAAUGUUCUGAUUCCUAUGCAUUUGUUUUACAAUCUUGCAAAACUAUAAACAAUGUAUUUCAUGCUAUAUCUUAAGAUCUGUUGUCUGUCUCAUAUGCUGUUAAUUGUGAGGUAUUUUUGAAAUGUUGACAGUGUUUGGAGAUGGAAUUGCUUUGAGCUAAAGUUUCUUCUGAUUUUUUUAAACUGGUUCUCAAAGUCAUGAAUAUUGGAUACCUGAUGUUGGAAAGGUUGUGCCAGAACAUUAUUACUGUGUGAUUACUAAUUUGUCAUCAGUGUUGGUCAAGAAAUAUAUCACUUAAUAGUGAAAAAUAUCCAACAUCUGCCACCUGUGAGAUAGCUGAAUUAUACAAUAUUUGGGUAAAACAGGGUAUUGGAUGAAAGCUAAUAGGUAGAUGGUGGCAUCAACUGUUAGGAAGCAGAUCAAGGACUAGGAUAUUUUCUGAGACAGAAAGUGCAUUAUUUUCUACUUAGCAAAUAGUACUUCUUCUGUAUUUGGUGAUCUGGGAAGGACAUGAGCAAACACUUCAACUAGUUCAUUUUUGGCAUUGUCUAGUCUAGACUAUUCUCCCUGUGAUUUUCAGGUUUGGCAAUGUUACUAUACUAUGUGGCAGAUGAUGCUCCAUAUCUCCUAUGUUAUUGCUAUCAUGACAUGAAAAUCUACUGAUAACAAUUCUCCAUGUAUGUGAUUAAAGAAACAAACAAUCAAACAAAAGUGAAUUUCCAGC
ensembl:lncRNA